UCUCUCAGGUUAAAGAAUCUACCGUUUACCUUUACUAAGCUGAAGGACCUGGCAGCUCUCUGGCUUUCUGACAAUCAGUCCAAGGCUCUGAUCCCCCUACAGACAGAAGCCCACCCUGAAACCAAACAGAAGGUUUUGACCAACUACAUGUUUCCUCAGCAACCGCGACAUGACGAGGAUUACCAGUCAGACAGUGACAGCUUUAAUCCUACUCUGUGGGAGGAGCAGAGACAGCAGAGGAUGACUGUGGCCUUUGACUUUGAGGACAAGAAAGAAGAGGAAGACAACUCUGGGAAGGU